rnacentral:rRNA from 1 species
UGGGGAAUAUUGCACAAUGGGCGCAAGCCUGAUGCAGCCAUGCCGCGUGUAUGAAGAAGGCCUUCGGGUUGUAAAGUACUUUCAGCGAGGAGGAAGGUGUUGUGGUUAAUAACCGCAGCAAUUGACGUUACUCGCAGAAGAAGCACCGGCUAACUCCGUGCCAGCAGCCGCGGUAAUACGGAGGGUGCAAGCGUUAAUCGGAAUUACUGGGCGUAAAGCGCACGCAGGCGGUCUGUCAAGUCGGAUGUGAAAGCCCCGGGCUCAACCUGGGAACUGCAUCCGAAACUGGCAGGCUAGAGUCUUGUAGAGGGGGGUAGAAUUCCAGGUGUAGCGGUGAAAUGCGUAGAGAUCUGGAGGAAUACCGGUGGCGAAGGCGGCCCCCUGGACAAAGACUGACGCUCAGGUGCGAAAGCGUGGGGAGCAAACA